AUGAACGCUGGCGGCGUGCCUAAUACAUGCAAGUCGAGCGAACAGACGAGGAGCUUGCUCCUCUGACGUUAGCGGCGGACGGGUGAGUAACACGUGGAUAACCUACCUAUAAGACUGGGAUAACUUCGGGAAACCGGAGCUAAUACCGGAUAAUAUAUUGAACCGCAUGGUUCAAUAGUGAAAGACGGUUUUGCUGUCACUUAUAGAUGGAUCCGCGCCGCAUUAGCUAAUUGGUAAGGUAACGGCUUACCAAGGCAACGAUGCGUAGCCGACCUGAGAGGGUGAUCGGCCACACUGGAACUGAGACACGGUCCAGACUCCUACGGGAGGCAGCAGUAGGGAAUCUUCCGCAAUGGGCGAAAGCCUGACGGAGCAACGCCGCGUGAGUGAUGAAGGUCUUCGGAUCGUAAAACUCUGUUAUUAGGGAAGAACAAAUGUGUAAGUAACUAUGCACGUCUUGACGGUACCUAAUCAGAAGGCCACGGCUAACUACGUG
rnacentral:rRNA from 1 species